rnacentral:tRNA from 1 species
GUAUGCGUGACCCGAAUGGUAAGGGAGCAGACUGUAAAUCUGUCGCCACAAGCAACUGUAGGUUCAAGUCCUACCGUAUACACCA